UGCUGAUGCUUCUCUGCCCCAAAAGCAGAGCACAGAAGAAAUGGAAUCUACUGUUGAGCUCCUUCCUGUGGAGUUCCAGGAACUGGUGACAGUGAAGGAUGAGGAAAUGGAUUUUGCCCAUGUGGAGGUGGACCAGCUGAAUUCUGCCCAGAGGAACAUGGGCCUGGAUCUGAAGGUGGAGAAUUGUGGAAGCCUGGUAUUUUGGGGCGGUGAGGUCCUGGAGGACACGGGCCGCGUGAGGGCUUUCAGAACCGCCCCCAGGCUCACACCGCGCCUUCCCAGAGUGAGCGCAGGCCCACAGCAGCUGAAAGAAGGGGAUGACCUCAGAGCCCCCUUCCGCCUCUGAGCACCUCCCAUCGUGGCCAUGGGCGCCAAUCAUGAAAGGUACCUGUUGCUUUGGCCAGGGGAAGCCCCAGAAGGACCGCUGAGUGUGCCUUCCCUCUUCCAGUUACUCCUCUGAGCACGAGCACGAGUGGCCACCAAGCCCCUGGUGGUCAGGCCCAGCAUUGCAGCAACAGGCGG
rnacentral:lncRNA from 1 species